GAAAUUAUGUUGGAAUUUCAACUCUAGGGUAAAGCAUUACAAAUUUAUAAAUUACCCUGAAACAUUCUUUGUAAUGAAUAUGUGCAAAGAAAAUGAGUUGAUAUAGUAACCAAUAAUGAUGAUUGACAAGUUAGAGAUAAAGCUCUUCAGGUAUCAAUAUAAAGGGUAAAUUCAGACAUGUUUUGUACAUUUCAUACUGUAAAUUGAAAUUUUUGUGAUGUUUUUAUUAUUACAAAAAGAUACGACAGGUUUGUAAUUGCAAUUAUUUAAAC
rnacentral:lncRNA from 1 species